UUGGGAGCUCACUGGCUUCGGAGUUGUAAGAACUCCGAAGUUAAGCGAGUUGGAGGCUGGAGCAAUCCCAGGAUGGGUGACCCCCUGGGAAGUUGCUCAGUGAGCUCCCAGA
rnacentral:rRNA from 1 species